rnacentral:rRNA from 15 species
CCCUUAGAUGUUCUGGGCCGCACGCGCGCUACACUGACAGAGCCAACGAGUUCAUUUCCUUAGCCGAAAGGUUUGGGUAAUCUUGUUAAACUCUGUCGUGCUGGGGAUAGAGCAUUGCAAUUAUUGCUCUUCAACGAGGAAUGCCUAGUAAGCGCAUGUCAUCAGCAUGCGUUGAUUACGUCCCUGCCCUUUGUACACACCGCCCGUCGCUACUACCGAUUGAAUGGCUCGGUGAGGCCUUCGGACUGGCCC